ACGAGUGGCGUUCUCCGUUGCUAGGAUACGCCGAUGCGCCGUGCGAUCGGCCGAGGGGAGCACAACGCUGGACCACACACGCGGUACCAUUUUCCCUCGAGCAAUAACAUUACCCACACAGAGACGCGCCUCCUUACGCGACACGCACGAGGGCGCGGGGAUCGCUGCGGUCUUCUCGGUUCUCUCUCUCUCUCUCUCUCUCUCGCCCAUACCUCGUCUCUUUCCCUCUCACUCUCAUCUUUUCCUAUUCUCCUCUCGUUCUUUCUACCCUCUCCGUCGUUCCCUUCUAACACACCGUUCUGAAAGCUUUAUAUACGCACCGCGUUUCACGCGGCGUAUCCUAGAACGAGGAAGAUAGAGAUAGAAAGGGUUAGGAACAGGAUCCAAGAAAGAAAGAGAGAGAGAGAGAGAGAGAAAGAUAGUCCACUAAUUCAUCGGACCUUAACAAGAACCUGGCCGAAAUCCUUUAAUCAAGAUCGUCUACCGGAAAUGAGACAAUUCCUAAAGACGAUGCCACGACUUCAUAUGUGUCCGGUCGAAACAGCAGUCUACUCGCUGAGAUAAAAGAAUGGAAGGGGGAAAAGGACAGGAUGAUGGAAACAUUCGUUGAUACCGCGUGGUCUACCUUUGAUCCACCCCAAGACGGCUCUUCUCUUGCACCGGGUACCGGCGGAUCGCCGACGAGGCACCGUGUGGAGCGACCGUUAAUAAUUUUUACGACACUCUUAACUCGCCACCCGGUAUUAAGCGGUCCACCAGAGAAGACGGCCUUUUGAUCUUUGCCGACGCGGUAUCGACUUAAUGAGUGCGAGAGGGAGAUAGCGGGUGAGUCAGCGCGGACCGCGGGGGCACAUGGGAGCGUAAUGGCAGCGCGGUAGGGGGUGGGUUGAGGUAAGGAGGAAGAGAAAGAUCAGUAGGAGAAAUCGGCCCCCUCCCCUUUUUCCCCGUGUAACUCUUUUUCUACGCUAACUCCGAUGCCUGGAUUGUUGCCUGAUGUCAGGCGCACUGAUACUGUGUGAUUAACAUUUUAUAACUUUCGUUUUGUUUUCUUUUUUUUUCCUCCUAAUUCAAUAGGUUUUUCGACAAAGAGAUUUUUUUUUCUAAUUAUAUAUAUAUAUUAUGUUUAUUUAA